UUCGCCCCUGCCUUGGGAACAGUCAUACUCAGAACCCCAUUCUCCAAUGGGAACAGUCACACUCAGAACCCCAUUCUCCAUUGCAACCCUAAUCUCCUCUACCUUCGCAUUCUCUGGAAGCUGAAAUCUCCUCAAGAACUUGCUGCUGCUGCGCUCCACUCUGUGCCAUUUGUCGUUCUUGUCCACCUUCUCUACAUUCCUCUCUCCAUUGAUCUGAAGUGCCGUCCUCGAGCUCCACCUUCACCUCUUCUUUCUUCAGCCCCAGAAGGUCUGCCUUGAAAUUUUUCGACCUAGACUGGGGAAUAUUAAAUUUCCUGAAAUCUGAUGCAUCAUUAUUUAUUUAUUGAGUCAAAAGCAAACGAAGGCAUGAUAAGAUAUCAAAAGACUAUUAAUUCAGAAACAAACGUAAAUGUAACUUUAAAUAGAGAAGAUGGAUGACACUUGACACUCACAGACAGCCACACAAUGACACAACUUCACAUGUAGAAAUAUAUCCAUCACUUUUACAUAGGCACUCUUUAUUUCUACUACAUACUCUGUGGAUGCACUAGAGAACCCAGAUGAUCUUUAGAUUCCUCAAUUUUAAUUAACCAGAGAUUUCAAUGGCUUUGACAUCAGGCUUCUUCACCUCUGCCUUUGGAACAGUGACACUCAGAACCCCAUUCUCCAUUGCAGCCUUAAUCUCGUUCAACUUUGCAUUUUCAGGAAGCUGAAACCUCCUCAAGAACUUGCCGCUGCUGCGCUCCACUCUGUGCCACUUGUCGUUCUUGUCCUCCUUCUCUACGUUCCUCUCUCCGCUGAUCUGAAGCACCCUGUCGUCUUCAACCUCCACCUUCACCUCUUCUUUCUUCAGCCCCGGAAGGUCUGCCUUGAAUACGUGGGCUUCUGGGGUCUCCUUCCAGUCGAUUCUGGUGUUCAGGAUAGCUGAAUUUUCCCGGGAAAAUUCAGGGAAUGUGGAGAGUGAUGAGGAGGAAGGGAAUGGAAAAUCCUUUAAGGAUUCCCAGAGAUCGAGAGAGAAAGGGUCGAAAAUGCUGCCUCGUCGGAAGUUGGGGAUGAUCGACAUUGGAAAAAUUGAUGGGUUUUGUUUGGAUGCUGAGAAAGUUUGAGCGUCGAUUUGUAGUGGUUAGAGAAUUUCUGCUUUGCUUGAUUGGUUUGGGAAAGUAGAGGAUUGGUUGGAUAUUUAAAAGGAAGCCAAGAAUAAUCUAGUAAAGACUGGGCCUUGCAAACGCUUCUGUGAUUUUCUCUGGAAAUUCUAGGAUUGUCUAGAAUCUGUGGGCGGGGCUUCUUUGUGGGCUCAUAACACAGUUAGACGAGUGAUGGACCACUGGACUUCAAAAUUCACUCAACCUACCCAGCGCCAUUUUUGUAAAAUUUGAAAUUCACUUUUUACCCUUCAAAGAAAAUUAAAAACUAAAAAAUAAAAACCCAUGAGAUUCAAAUUGAAGGAACAUAACAUAAUAUAAAUAUAAAAACUGAAUAUGAAUCAAGAAAUGGAAUAAUUAGGUGGUCUGACAAAGUUAUUUGAGGAUUUGCAAGUUUUUCAAAUCUUAUAUAUAUAUAUAUAUUCAUUCAUGGUGUGAACUAGUGUCACGUGAAGAAUUAGCAUGAAUUGGGAAAAAAAAAUUAAAAUUUGCGAGGCUGUGUUUAGGGAAAUCCAGAUGAAAGACCCGCAAUGCAAACCAUAGUUCUCAUGCUAAGCAGUUACUCUGUUACCAUGGCAUUACCUCAAAAAGCCAGCAUUUGUUCUGCAUAGUUGAACUGAGCUGAACAUGCCAUCAUUUACAAGGACUGACUCAUCUGAUCAACCAACUAGCAAAUCAUUGUCAUUUUCUGUUAAUGAAGCCUCAAUUGCUGAAUUAUACUCGCGGGAGUCUAUAUCCAACAAAGCAUGAUCAAUCUUGCAGGACUGUACUUGGGAAGUUCUGUGAUUAUUGUUUCGUUUCUCUCUGCUUUUCAUGGUUGCUCUAGCUGUUCUGUUCUUUUGUUGGUUUAGUUAGUCUGUGGUCCAUAGGGGCUCUGUGUUGGUUUGGUUACCAUUGUAGCAUUGUAUUUCUUGGCCUUUUAGGCUUUGCUACCUCUUUUUUUCGCUUAAUCCAAUGUUUUGAUCAGAUUUGACUUUAAAAUUCGUUAAAUGGCCAGUUUGUUUAUGAAAUUAGGAUCAAAUUCAUAUUAAAAAGUAAAUUAAGAACAUAAUUAACCUGUUGCUACAUGAAUAAAUUCAUUAAUAUUUAAACCUGAGUUUGGACAGACAAAAAAAGCUUGAGUUUACCCCAAAAUUAAAGAGUUAGCCUAAGCUUUGCCUCAAAAUUAAAGAGUUAGCCUAAGACGUAUUGAAAGAGUUUAGGUAGGGUGGGUCUCAAAUCAUGAGCUGGUUGGGUAAAUAUUUUUUUUUCACUGAUUCUUAUAAAUAUUUGCCAUAUUUUCACCACUCCAAAACUCUUUUACUUAUAACCUUUAUCUCCUUCUCUCCAAUUUAUCCUCCCACGUCUCAAAAUCCAAAUUCUACACCCAAGGACAAACUCAGGAAUUUUUAUAAGAGUGGGUUAAUAUUUGUUUUUCAAUGAGUGAUUUAUAAGCCCUAUUAUUUUUUUUAAAUAGACACCAAAUCAAACACAUAUUGUCAAAAAUAUAUAUAAUAAAACAAAUAUUGCAUUGCCAAAAAAUAAAUUUACUUCUUAGGAGUGAAACGAAUUCAACAAUAUAUGAUUACAUAUCUCAUCUUUUUUUUAUAUUGGUUUAUUAUAAUAGAGACAUCACUCAUUUAUAUAUAAACCUUCGUUGUUCCGUCCUUGUCUACACCUUCACUGUUGGUGUGGAACAUCACACAUUUAUAUAUAAACAAAUUAAAUACAAUGAUUGAUCCGUAUGCAACUAUGAAAACACUUUACCUGAAUGAUCUCAAUGUUCAAAUAAAUCAAAGAUAUUUUACCUAAAAUUAUUAAUUUCCUCUAAUAUCUUAUGCGACAUUAUUUUUGUCUCAUGAAUAUAAUCUAAAAUGAUACAUAGAAGAGUUAAGAUGAUAUUGAUUUUCCUCACACAACUAUUGAAGCUGUCAAGAAAGCAAAAAAUGGAUGAAGCGAUUCAUCUUUAGGCUUCCAAUUAAACUUUAGAAAGCAAACAAAUUUCAUUAUAUUAUUUACCGUCAUGUUAAGGAGUGCGAAAAUACUGUGAGAUGUUCCUCACAAAAGUGGUAUGAAAAUUCUGAUGAUUAUGAGACUCAUGGAUCAUUGCAGUUAAAAGCUAGGUGGAUUAGGAUUAGGAUUCCCAAAUCUGCUGCUUCAUUAUUUAUUGAUUCAAGAGGAUUAGGCUUACGAAUUGGGUUAAGCAAAAGCAAACAAAGCCCAUGAUAAGAUAUCAAAGCGAAAAAGUAAAUGUAAUUUUAGAUAAGGUCGAACACAAGAAAUCUUAGGAUCACAAUGCAAUAUAAUUUGAAGUUUAAUGCCACUCAAAAAGUUUCAAACACAAGAAAGCAUUUUACUAAGACAUGAAACCUGAAAAGCAACACAUACAAUUCAGAACAGGAACCAGGCAAAGCCUCAAAAACGCAAAACACAAAUUAGAAAAAUUACAAUCAUGAUGGCAAUUAUGUUACAAGAAAUCACUCAUUACAUUGAUGACAAUUGACACUCCAAAAUCAAACAAAGAAAUACAUAAUGUGAAAUUCAGUAGAGAAUACAAAGACGAUAUUAACCAGAGAUUUCAGAGGCUUUGGCAUCAGGCUUCUUCGGAUUUUUCAAAUUUUUUCAAAAAGAAAUACCGGCUAUACUCGGUCUUUUCAAAUUUCAUUGAUAUCAACAUUCAUGACAACUGACUCUCUAAAAUCAAACGUAGAAGUACAUAAUGUGAAGGGCAUAUGCAGUAGAGAAUACAGAGACGAUAUUAACCAGAUAUUUCAAUGGCUUUGACAUCAGGCUUCUUCACCUCUGCCUUUGGAACAGUGACACUCAGAACCCCAUUCUCCAUUGCAGCCUUAAUCUCGUCCACCUUUGCAUUCUCAGGAAGCUGAAACCUCCUCAAGAACUUGCCGCUGCUGCGCUCCACUCUGUGCCACUUGUCGUUCUUGUCCUCCAUCUCUACGUUCCUCUCUCCGCUGAUCUGAAGAACCCUGUCGUCUGCAACCUCCACCUUCACCUCUUCUUUCUUCAGCCCCGGGAGGUCUGCCUUGAACACGUGGGCUUCUGGGGUCUCCUUCCAGUCGAUUCUGGGGUUCAGGAAAGUUGAUUUUUCCAGAGAAAAUUCAGGGAAUGUGGAAAGUGAUGAGGGGGAAGGGAAUGGAAAAUCCUUUAAGGAGUCCCAGAGAUCGAGAGAGAAAGGGUCAAAAAUGCUGCCUCGUCGGAAGCUGGGGAUGAUCGACAUUGGAAAAAUUGAUAGGUUUUGUUUGGAUGCUGAGAAAGUUUGAGAAUUGUUGCUUUGCUUGACUGGUUGGGAAAGCAGAUGAUUGAAUGCGUAUUUAUACGGGGCCGAAGAGUUUUCUAGAAUAGACUGGGCCUUGCGUGUUUGUAUGGAUUUCUCUCAAACUUUCUAGGAUUCUCAGGUGGAUUCUUUGUGGGCUCGUAACAGUUGAUGAGUGAUGCACCACCUGGAUGACGUAAGAGUUGGAAAAAGAACCGGUGAACCAGUUAAACCCGGGUGCGGUCCAGUCAUGUCCUAUUUACUUCCAAAAUUAAUCGUCAAACUAAAUAAAAUAAUCUGUUUGAUUUGGUUUCCAUUAAGUACAACCCGUUUUAUUCGGUUUGGGUUUCGUUAGGCUUGUCCCAUCAUUACUUGAUGCCCAAAAGUGAUACUCAACUUCCCUAAAUUAAUUAAUCAAAAAAUUCAUAGAGAAAAAAAGAAAUGGAUGAUGGUGUUGGAAGCAUGGAUUGAGGAUAUGAGGGAGGGAGAUGAAGGAAGUUGAGACCGUGAUGAAGAUGAGGGAGGCUAUAAUUUUGGUAUUAAAUUCAUAAUAAGAAUGAGUUAUAUAUAUCAAUAUAUUGGUAGACAUUAUAUACUCGGUCCAAUUUUGUUUUUAAGUGGCAAAAUCAAGAACCGAACCGGUUCAAGCCAAAACCAAUUUUUUUAGUUUUUUUCGAUCUAGUUUGGUUCAACUUAUCGAUUUUCCAGUUCAAAUUCUCACCCAUAUAACCCAAUUUAGUUGCACUUUCACUUCCUUUAAGAUUGAGAGAACCGAAUUGAAACGGUCCUUGCUCUUCUUUUUUUUUUUUCUUUUUUUUUGUGUGUACAAAUAACUUAUAACUCAAGUGAUUAAAAGUAGUUAUUCUUGCACCCAAAAUCGUGUUUUGAAUCCCCCUCUCCAAUAUCACUUAUAUGAAACAAAAACAAAAUCUACUUAUAUCUUGUAUAAACCAUUUCAUAUGCCAUUUAAAUUCCCCACUAAAAUAACCAAAUUUAACCAUAAAGCAUUGAGGCAUUUCACACCUCCCUAUUAUACCUACAUUCCCAUAUAGAGUACUCGCUUCCUCAUUUGUGCCCGUCUAGUUAUUUUUCCUUUUUCAUUUUUUCAACAUGUAGCCCAAUUACAAUCAAAAUAUUCACAACUUGAUACCCUUUUCUUCUCUUCAUUUUCUAGUGUAUCAAACCAUACUAAAAUUCAUCAUACCAUAAAACUUCAAAGUUCAAUAACUAAUAUAGCUACAAUUCAAAUAUCAAUAACUUCAAAGUUUCAUGAAACUUCAAAUUCAAUAUUCAUAUCUAGUGAUUAUCCAAUCAAAGUUCAAUUCAAAUAUCAUUUUUAUAUAUAAUAAAAAUGAACAUAUACAUAAGCAGACAAUCUGAUACAGUUUAAGUCAAUUUGCAAAAGCUCAAAAUCAAACCGAACUAAAUCAUUUAUAGUUCAAAUAAGUUUUUAAAGUUUUUGACUUUUUCUUGAUAAAAACCAAAUCAAACAAAACUAGUAAUUUCGGUUUGAUUUGACUGGUUUAGUCGAUUCACCCAAAGUGACCUAAGAGUUUGCUUAUGGCUAGUAGGGAGUCAACGACUUUGAAAAGUAGCAUGUCUUACGUUUAUGGCUCUCCUAUUUCAGUUUCCCUUUUCUUAGAGGUUGUAAGUGUUUCUUUUCUUGUUGGUAUCCAUUUUUUCAUUGUGGUUUGGGCCAUUUUCUCAUUGUAUCUCAUAAGUCUACAUUUAUGUUUCCUUUCUUGCUGAUAUGGCAACGUACAGUUUCAUGCCAGAAAUCAGAUUGAGAUGCAUCAUUGACCUGAAAUUAAAAUUGAAGUUCAUAUAAUAAUUUACUAAAAAUAAAAUUUACUAGAAUUAUCUCAAUCUUUAAAGAAAUCAAAGAGACUUUACCUGAAAUUGUUAGUUUCCUCUAAUAUCUUAUGUAAAAUUUGUCUUUUGAAUAUAAUCUCAAAUGAUAGAUAGAGGAGUUAAGAUGAUAUUCAUCUUCCUCACACAACUAUUGAAGCUGUAAGAAAGCAAUAAUCAAUAUUAAUGUUGGGAAGCAAAGUUUUUAUUAUUAUUUUUUGCCGUCAUAUUAAGGACAUGAGUGCAAACAUACUGUGAGAUGUUCCUCACAAAAGUGGUAUGACAAGUUGGAUAAAUCAUGAGAUUUAUUCAUGUCAAUUGCACAUAUUUGAGAAAAACUUAUGUGUUUUAAUAUCAACAAUCCUUGAAUUUAUGUCUGAGUUGGAGGAUGGAAAUUUAAAAACAAAUUAGAUGACCAAAAUAAAUGCUUUUUAACGGCAAUAGUCCUUGACUUUAUAUCCGAACUGCAGGAGAAAUUAUGCAAUAGUAUCGUAGCACAGAUGAUGUGGUGCUACGGCCCAGUAGUUUUUUGACACGCAAUAAAACUUUAACAUGUCAGAAUUAAACUUAAAUGAAGUUGUAAUGUUAGGCAACGUUGUUUGACGGUUUAACCCCAUUUGCGUUUAACCCGAGUAGAUUCUUCUUUGAAGCUAAUCCCUAAUUGAAAUAUCUGAUAAUUCGUUGAAGCUCCUCAAAUUUAUCGCUUAUUCUCAAUCUUCUGAGGUGUUUGUGCAAUCUGCAGUCGGGUUCGAAAAAUCCUAACAUUCAAUCAGUUGUUCAUUUACAAGGCUAAGGAAGGACGGGCUGUGAUGGAAACCACUUUGUUUUGUUUUUUUCCAGACCAGCCGCUGCAAAGCACCACGACGACCACCUUGACUUCGUCGACAACCACAUUCAGAUCUUGAUUCCACCCAAAACAAUAUGAUAUCGUUUUCGAUUACUAAAGAAAAAGAAACAACAAUGAAAUAAUCAAUCAAAACAAUCACAAUUUUGAACUGUGAAGAGCUUUUUCAAAUUUUCAAAUUUUGAAUUGUCAAAAACAACCCCAUCUAGCCGUGCGGAUAUAGUCGGAUUUUGCAAAUUUUUAAUAAAUUUCCCCAAUAGAAAAAAUAGUACAACCAUCCGACUAUAUUAGGAUUUUCAAAUUUUUUAAUAAAUUUUCUCCAAAAAAAAUAAUAUAGCCGAACAAUUAUACGCUGUUUUAGAAUUUCUUUUACUAUUAGUUAAGUUGCUCGGCUUUACUGGGCUCUAUUUUUAUAUUUUUUAUUAGUAAAUCGUUAAAAGAAAUAAUAUAACCACACAGUUGUACCCGUCUCUUUUUUAAUACAUACCUUUUGUAAUAUAGCCGUCCGGCGAUACUCGGAUUUUUCAAAUUUUGUUUGUACAGCCGAACAGCCAUACUUGGGUUUUCCUAAUUUUUCAAAAUAGAAAUAGUAUAGCCGGUCGGCUAUACUCUGAUUUUUCAAAUUUUUUUAAAAUGAAUUAUAUGACCACAAUAAAACUUGGAUAUAAUUCAUUAAUCAUUGCGAUUACAAACUAGGUGACUGUGAUUGCUCAGUUAGGCACAUCUUUCCUGAACAGAACUGUACUGCGGAUGCUUUGAUCCUGGUCUGCAGAUUUUUGACAUGGCGUCAGCCUCCCUUGUGGAUAUUCUCGCUGCUGAUGCCUGUGGUGCUCCCAGGCCCCGUUUCUUAGUGCUCAGUUGUUUUCUUUGCCUAAAAAACCAAACACAAAUUACCAAAAUUACGAUCUAUUUAUUAAAUUAAAAACCAACAAGUUACAAGCCAUUAUGUUACAACCACUCACACUCAUUUCAUUGAUAUCAACAUUCCAAAUUCAAACAUAGAAAUACAUAAUGUGAAGUGCAUGCAGUAGAGAAUACAGGGACGAUAUUAACCAGAGAUUUCAAUGGCUUUGACAUCAGCCUUCUUCACCUCAGCCUUUGGCACAGUGACACUCAGAACCCCAUUCUCCAUUGCAGCCUUAGUCUCGUCCAACUUUGCGUUUUCAGGAAGCUGAAACCUCCUCAAGAACUUGCCGCUGCUGCGCUCCACUCUGUGCCACUUGUCGUUCUUGUCCUCCUUCUCUACGUUCCUCUCUCCGCUGAUCUGAAGCACCCUGUUGUCUUCAACCUCCACCUUCACCUCUUCUUUCUUCAUCCCCGGAAGGUCUGCCUUGAACAAGUGGGCUUCCGGGGUCUCCUUCCAGUCGAUCCUCGUGUUCAGGAAAGCUGAAUUUUCCCGAGAAAAUUCAGGGAAUGUGGAGAGUGAUGAAGAGGAAGGGAAUGGGAAAUCCUUGAAUGGGUCCCAGACAUCGAGAGAGGAAGGGUCGAAAAUGCUGCCUCGUCGGAAGCUGGGAAUGAUCGACAUUGGAAAAAUUGAUGGGCUUUGUUUGGAUGCUAAGAAAGUUUGAGAAUUUGAAUCGUUAAAGAGAAUUGCUGCUUUGCUUGAUUGGUUUC
rnacentral:sRNA from 1 species